UGCUUUGUGGCAGCGCUGGGAGGGGUCCCCUGUGCUGCUGCUGAGCGGGCUCGGGUGCCUCAGUGGCUGCGCUGUGUGAACUUCUUCACCUCAGGAGCCGCCCAAGGACCCCAGAAUGCCUUGGAAGCGAGGAAAUGGGACUAUUCAUUCUUCUGCAUACAGGAAAAGAUAAAUCCUCCAAAUUGUGAAGUCCAGCCAAUGCAUGGAGUAUACAGCUUGGACACAGAGAAAAUGAGUGCCUCGGACAGCAAACUCUCAACUCUGCAACUGUCCUGAUGCUGAUUCAAAGGCACUGACUGUAUUCUGUGUUCCUGAAGUCUGGAAUCUGGGAAGUCCAAGGCCAAGAAGACCCACCUGAAGAGGGCCAUAUUCCUGCAUCCUAAUAUGACAAACAUCAUUACAUGAUGCUUGGACUGGAGGUCAUGUGACUAGAUGCAUUAGAAGUGGUGAGAGUGCUUAAAGAACAGUACCUUGGCUACAGGAAAAUGUUCUUGGGAGAUGCAGUAGAUGUGUUUGAAGCCAAGCGAGCAGAAGCCAAGAAGUGGCAGAAUGCACCCAGAGUUACUACUGGACCCACCCCUUUCGGCACCAUGCCAAAUGCAGCAGCUGUUAUCAUGGCUGCAACACUUACACAGCAGCAACAGCCUGCUACAGGAUUUGGAACUAGCUCCGGUUUUGGAUGCAGCACCACAGGGGCCUCAACAUUUGGAUUUGGAACAACAAAUAAGCCCUCAGGAAGUCUUAGUGCAGGCUUUGGCAGCUCAAGUACAUCUGGGUUUACCUUCAGCAAUCCUGGCAUCACGGCAUCAGCUGGUUUGACAUUUGGGGCGUCCAAUCCUGCCUCUGCAGGUUUUGGAACAGGAGGACAACUCCUUCAGUUGAAGAAACCUCCAGCUGGAAACAAAAGAGGAAAAAGAUAAACAUAUGGGUUGAAAUGUUGAGAGAAUCCAUAGCAGUGCUGUUAAUUUGAUGAGUCUAUUUUUCUAGUGAUGCGGUAAUUAAACUGCAUCCCAAGAGAUUUAUAAAGUUUUGAUAUUUUCC